UGCCUUCCUUUGCGCUACCAUCUAUGGUCUUGUACAACAAGGCAGACGAUGAUGCUCCUCCCUGAGGGCUCCCAGUUGCCUCGGGAAUGACACUGAAGGCCUGCUGUGUCCUGGCCUUCUUGUUCCUCCCCGUGCAUACCAGGCAUUUUUAUCCACGCAUGCCUUUGCACAGGCUCGUUCCUCAGUCUGCACUGCUCCUUUUCUCUGAAGCAGAGGCAAUAAAUUCUCACCAAAUAUUCCCUGUGCUCUAAAUCAGAACUAAUGGGCCGCGAGCAGCAGGGACGUGUGGGCUUGCAGACCGAAGCCUUGAAAGGCAGGUCCAACGUCUUCUCGAGUCUCAGCUGCUGACAUGCUGUGACUCAGCCGUUACCAUUUUCCCUGGAAGCCCUGGAAAGGCCGCCCAGGCCAGCUCUCUCCCUGGUUUAUGUUGAAUCGAUGGGGAGACUGCGACUUGGAUCAGGGGAAGUCAGCUGCCGUGCUGUGAGGACGCUCAAGCAAUCCUAUGCUGAGGCCAGUGGUGAGGAACUGAGGCCUCCUGCCACCAGCCACGUGAAUGCACCACACUGGAAGUGGAUCCUCCAACUCCAUCCAAGCCUUCAGAUGAAGAAGCCCUGACCAACAUCUCAACUGCAAUCUCAUGAGAGACGCUGAGCCAGAACCACCCAGCUAAGAUGCUACCAAAUUCAAGACCUGUAGAAACAGUGAGAUGAUAAGUGUUUGUUGCAUUAAGCCACUAAGUUUUGUGGAAAUUUGU